GAUGAACGCUAGCGGCAGGCCUAACACAUGCAAGUCGAGGGGCAGCACAGGUAGCAAUACGUGGGUGGCGACCGGCGGAUGGGUGCGUAACGCGUAUGCAACCUACCAUUGAUUGGGGCAUAGCCCGAAGAAAUUCGGAUUAAUACUCCAUAAUAUUCAUCAAAGGCAUCUUUAUGAACUAAAGCUUUUGCGAUCAAUGAUGGGCAUGCGUGACAUUAGUUAGUUGGUGAGGUAACGGCUCACCAAAACGAUGAUGUCUAGGGGUUCUGAGAGGAUUAUCCCCCACACCGGUACUGAGACACGGACCAGACUCCUACGGGAGGCAGCAGUGAGGAAUAUUGGUCAAUGGACGCAAGUCUGAACCAGCCAUGCCGCGUGCAGGAUGACGGCCCUAUGGGUUGUAAACUGCUUUUCCACGGGAAGAACCCUCCGACGUGUCGGAGACUGACGGUACCGUGGGAAUAAGCAUCGGCUAACUCCGUG
rnacentral:rRNA from 1 species